rnacentral:rRNA from 1 species
AUUGAACGCUGGCGGCAGGCCUAACACAUGCAAGUCGAACGAGUGGCGGACGGGUGAGUAAUGUCUGGGACACUGCCUGCUGGAGGGGGAUAACUACUGGAAACGGUAGCUAAUACCGCAUACCAUCGGAUGUGCCCAGAUGGGAUUAGCUAGUAGGUGGGGUAACGGCUCACCUAGGCGACGAUCCCUAGCUGGGCUGAGAGGAUGACCAGCCAAACUGGAACUGUGAGACGGUCCAGACUCCUACGGGAGGCAGCGGUGGGGAAGGUUGCACAAGGGGCGCAAGCGGGAUGCAGCCAUGCCGCGGGUAUGAAGAAGGCCUUCGGGUUGUAAAGUACGUUAAGCGGGGAGGCGUUACCCGCAGAAGAAGCACCGGCUAACUCCGUGCCAGCAGCCGCGGUAAUAC